AUGCUCUGGUUUCUCUUCAUAAUGAAAAAAUCUUUUGCUCUUUACUAAAGAUUUCUGUGGAGAGGAACAAUUAUGAGUUUGUAACUGAAUUUUUUGAUGUCCUGCUUAGUCAGGGCU
ensembl:snRNA U5 U5 spliceosomal RNA